CUACGGGAGGCUCCAGUGGGGAAUAUUGCACAAUGGACGAAAGUCUGAUGCAGCAACGCCGCGUGGAGGAUGACACAUUUCGGUGCGUAAACUCCUUUUGUAUAAGAAGAUAAUGACGGUACUAUAUGAAUAAGCACCGGCUAACUCCGUGCCAGCAGCCGCGGUAAUACGGAGGGUGCAAGCGUUACUCGGAAUCACUGGGCGUAAAGAGCGUGUAGGCGGGUUAAUAAGUUGGAAGUGAAAUCCUAUGGCUCAACCAUAGAACUGCUUCCAAAACUGUUAAUCUAGAAUAUGGGAGAGGUAGAUGGAAUUUCUGGUGUAGGGGUAAAAUCCGUAGAGAUCAGAAGGAAUACCGAUUGCGAAGGCGAUCUACUGGAACAUUAUUGACGCUGAGACGCGAAAGCGUGGGGAGCAAACAGGAUUAGAUACCCGCGUAGUC
rnacentral:rRNA from 1 species